UUCCAGCGCAGCAUGAUAAAAAUCUUCCACAAUGGACGAAAGUCUGAUGGAGCAACGCCGCGUGAGUGAAGAAGGGUUUCGGCUCGUAAAACUCUGUUGUUAAAGAAGAACAUAUCUGAGAGUAACUGUUCAGGUAUUGACGGUAUUUAACCAGAAAGCCACGGCUAACUACGUGCCAGCAGCCGCGGUAAUACGUAGGUGGCAAGCGUUGUCCGGAUUUAUUGGGCGUAAAGCGAGCGCAGGCGGUUUUUUAAGUCUGAUGUGAAAGCCUUCGGCUCAACCGAAGAAGUGCAUCGGAAACUGGGAAACUUGAGUGCAGAAGAGGACAGUGGAACUCCAUGUGUAGCGGUGAAAUGCGUAGAUAUAUGGAAGAACACCAGUGGCGAAGGCGGCUGUCUGGUCUGUAACUGACGCUGAGGCUCGAAAGUAUGGGUAGCAAACAGGAUUAGAUACCCUGGUAGUCCAUACCGUAAACGAUGAAUGCUAAGUGUUGGAGGGUUUCCGCCCUUCAGUGCUGCAGCUAACGCAUUAAGCAUUCCGCCUGGGGAGUACGGCCGCAAGGCUGAAACUCAAAGGAAUUGACGGGGGCCCGCACAAGCGGUGGAGCAUGUGGUUUAAUUCGAAGCUACGCGAAGAACCUUACCAGGUCUUGACAUACUAUGCAAAUCUAAGAGAUUAGACGUUCCCUUCGGGGACAUGGAUACAGGUGGUGCAUGGUGUCGUCAGCUUCGUUCGGGU
rnacentral:rRNA from 2 species